rnacentral:lncRNA from 1 species
AGGGACUGAGCAACACCCCCAGGCCUUAUCAUAUAUAAAAAGUCAAAUAUACACGGAGGGGGGCAAGUACCUUAGCUCCAAUCCUAUGGUGGGUAGGAGUAAACCUACCUUCUAAGGUUAGUCUACUCCACCCAAUACAAUAAGAUGUAAAUUAGACUAAGCACCUAAGAGGAUGAUUCCUCUCUUAAUACAUACUACUAAUAAUACAUAAAUGAGGGAGACUCUCCCUUUACAAGAAAGUGAAGAUACGCCCAAACAAACUAAUAUACCUAAAUAAGACAUAUUAGAUCAGAAUAGAGUAUAUCACAAGAAACAACUAGAGCGUUGUUAG